rnacentral:rRNA from 1 species
CACGUAGGGGGCAAGCGUUGUCCGGAUUUAUUGGGCGUAAAGAGCUCGUAGGUGGUUCGGUAAGUCAGGUGUGAAACCUCCAGGCUCAACCUGGAGACGCCACUUGAUACUGCUGUGACUGGAGUCCGGUAGGGGAGGCGUGGAAUUCCUGGUGUAGCGGUGAAAUGCGCAGAUAUCAGGAGGAACACCGAUGGCGAAGGCAGUUCUCUGGGCCGGUAACUGACGCUGAGGAGCGAAAGCGUGGGGAGCGAACAGG